UACGAAGGGGGCUAGCGUUGCUCGGAAUGACUGGGCGUAAAGGGCGCGUAGGCGGUUUGUCGCGUCUGCUGUGAAAACCUAAGGCUCAACCUUGGGCUUGCAGUGGGUACGGGCAGACUAGAGUGCGGUAGGGGAGAUUGGAAUUCCUGGUGUAGCGGUGAAAUGCGCAGAUAUCAGGAGGAACACCGAUGGCGAAGGCAGGUCUCUGGGCCACUACUGACGCUGAGAAGCGAAAGCAUGGGGAGCGAACAGG
rnacentral:rRNA from 1 species